UUGUGGAAUGCUAAUAAUAGUCCUCUAAAUUUUUUGUUGAAGCAAAUACUAUAAAUGGAUGCUAAUGGAGUCCAAAUAUAUUAGAAAGAGCGCUUUCAAUGGAAGGGACCAUGGUCUGAGCUGCUUUUGCAUUAUGUUGUCAAUGACCCAUGAUUUUGAGAAAAAACAGAUUCUUUUCGCUUUUCAAACCUAAUUUUAGCCUCAUCUUUUUUAUAACAUGCUUUGGAAAAAAUCACCUCGACUGGACUUGCAAUAAAGGAAAUAGCUUUACCUUUUUUUUUGUUUUUUUUGUUUUUUUUGGGUACAACGAUGCUUAAAGAUAGUAAAGUGAAAAUGAACCUUUUUAAUACGUUUCUUAAAGAGAAGGGUAAUGCUAGGGAGACUGAAAUUGUAGGAGAGAUUUUUCAGUGCGAUCGGUACACGGGAUUGUACACCACAUGUCAAUAAACAAAUGGUGGGAUAUGUGUGCUAAAAAGUUAAUAACUUAACAAAUAAAAUUUCCUACCAUUCCUAUUAAAACAUGUGUACCACUUGUGUUCCCGUCACAACUAAAAAUUUCUCAAAUUGUAGACAAAAUUUACAAACUAAAUGAUGUGUUAUGAAUAAAAAUGAGCACGCUUAUCAAUGUUUGACUAAUAAUCUAAUCAUCAACUUCCAUGUCAUUUAAUUUACAAAAUUUAAUUUAUAAAUUUAGUCUCCUAGCACUACCCCAAAAAGAAAUCACCUCAAGUGGACUUGCUUUUUAUUAUUAUUAUUAUUAUUUUUAAUGAAAAAAUUAGAUUCUCAUCAUUCAUUUUCCUACUCCAUUGAUUAAAAUCAUAUUCCUUUUCAAUUUUUGAUCAAGGUUUCUAGGUAUUAAUAACAUCAUUAAUUAUUUCAAUA
rnacentral:lncRNA from 1 species